GUAGAGGAAAGCUAGGUGCAGUGGCCAACAGCAGGAUGUGGAACGCAGGGACAGGAGGAGGUCUGGAGUUCGAGCUGCAGUGCGCGCGAAGGACCAAUUUUGCUGCUCACGUGGGGGAGAGUUAGAGUUUGACUGAAACUCUCCUAGCAGUGGCUUGAGUCGGUCAAGCGGUGGACUACUGCUGAUGGGGCAAGGAAUUUGGAUGAGAUUUAAAUUGGUGGUGGCUGAAAUCAAGGAGCA
rnacentral:lncRNA from 1 species